rnacentral:rRNA from 1 species
UACGUAGGGUGCAAGCAUUAAUCGGAUUUAUUGGGCGUAAAGGGCGCGUAGGCGGGGGUUUAAGUCAACUGUGAAAUCCCGAGGCUCAACCUCGGAACAGCAUUUGAAACUAGAUCCCUAGAGGGUAGGCGGAGAAAACGGAAUUCCACAAGUAGCGGUGAAAUGCGUAGAUAUGUGGAAGAACACCAGUGGCGAAGGCGGUUUUCUAGCUUAUACCUGACGCUGAGGCGCGAAAGCAAGGGGAGCAAACAGG